UACGUAGGUGGCAAGCGUUGUCCGGAUUUACUGGGCGUAAAGAGCGCGCAGGCGGCUGGUCAAGUCCGAUGUGAAAUCUCCCGGCUUAACUGGGAAACUGCAUCGGAAACUGAUCGGCUUGAAGGUGGGAGAGGGUAGUGGAAUUCCCGGUGUAGUGGUGAAAUGCGUAGAUAUCGGGAGGAACACCAGUAGCGAAGGCGACUACCUGGCCCAUUCUUGACGCUGAGGCGCGAAAGCUAGGGGAGCGAACGGG
rnacentral:rRNA from 1 species